UCAUGGUACAUGAGUGGCUAUCAUACUGGCUAUUAUAUGGGUUUCAGACAAAAUCAAAAAGAAGGAAGGUGCUCACAUUCCUUAAAUUAAGGAGAAAUGCUGGCAUAGAGCAGCACUAAAUGACACCACUAAAGAAACGAUCAGACAGAUCUGGAAUGUGAAGCGUUAUAGAAGAUAACUGGCCUCAUUUCUUCAAAAUAUCAAGUGUUGGGAAAGAAAAAAGGAAGUGGAAUGGAGUCUCGCUCUGCUGCCCACGCUGGAGUGCAGUGGUGCAAUCUCAGCUCACUGCAACCUCUGCUAUCCGGGUUCAAGCGGUUCUCGUGCCUCAGCCACAUAAUUCCCCCACCACCUCCCAUAUG
rnacentral:sRNA from 1 species